rnacentral:rRNA from 1 species
AGCGAACGCUGGCGGCAGGCCUAACACAUGCAAGUCGAACGAACCUUUCGGGGUUAGUGGCGGACGGGUGAGUAACACGUGGGAACGUGCCUUUAGGUUCGGAAUAACUCAGGGAAACUUGUGCUAAUACCGAAUGUGCCCUUCGGGGGAAAGAUUAAUCGCCUUUAGAGCGGCCUGCGUCUGAUUAGCUAGUUGGUUGAGGUAAUGGCUCACCAAGGCGACGAUCAGUAGCUGGUCUGAGAGGAUGAUCAGCCACAUUGGGACUGAGACACGGCCCAAACUCCUACGGGAGGCAGCAGUGGGGAAUCUUGCGCAAUGGGCGAAAGCCUGACGCAGCCAUGCCGCGUGAAUGAUGAAGGUCUUAGGAUUGUAAAAUUCUUUCACCGGGGACGAUAAUGACGGUACCCGGAGAAGAAGCCCCGGCUAACUUCGUG